rnacentral:rRNA from 1 species
GACGAACGCUGGCGGCGUGCUUAACACAUGCAUGUCGAACGGUAAGGCCCUUCGGGGUACACGAGUGGCGAACGGGUGAGUAACACGUGGGUGAUCUGCCCUGCACUUCGGGAUAAGCCUGGGAAACUGGGUCUAAUACCGGAUAGGACUCCUGGCUUCAUGGUUGGGGGUGGAAAGCUUUUGCGGUGUGGGAUGGGCCCGCGGCCUAUCAGCUUGUUGGUGGGGUAAUGGCCUACCAAGGCGACGACGGGUAGCCGGCCUGAGAGGGUGACCGGUCACACUGGGACUGAGAUACGGCCCAGACCCCUACGGGAGGCAGCAGUGGGGAAUAUUGCACAAUGGGCGCGAGCCUGAUGCAGCGACGCCGCGUGAGGGAUGACGGCCUUCGGGUUGUAAACCUCUUUCAGCUAUGACGAAGCGCAAGUGACGGUAGUAGCAGAAGAAGGACCGGCCAACUACGUGCCAGCCGCCGCCGUAA